rnacentral:rRNA from 1 species
UACAGAGGUCUCAAGCGUUUGUUCGGAUUCAUUGGGCGUAAAGGGUGCGUAGGCGGCUCAGUAAGUCGGGUGUGAAACCUCCAGGCUCAACCUGGAGACGCCACCUGAUACUGCUGUGGCUGGAGUCCGGUAGGGGAGCGUGGAAUUCCUGGUGUAGCGGUGAAAUGCGCAGAUAUCAGGAGGAACACCAGCGGCGAAGGCGGCGCUCUGGGCCAGAACUGACGCUGAGGAGCGAAAGCGUGGGGAGCGAACAGG